rnacentral:lncRNA from 1 species
GCACAUAGCACUGGCUGGUUAUAAAGGACUUGUCUAGGGGAGAGCCUAUGGAUCUGAGAACGCUGUCUGGGCUUGGUACCAAGAGCUGGUAUUUCACAGCAGCGACCGCCUCACAGACGAGCUGUGGGAAGCAGGAGGGAGACUCUCUCUUAGGGUGCCACUACUAUGGAGACACAGCUGGGCUGAACAAGAUUUGCUUCAAACGACAACAAGAGAGACAGAAAGUAUCUGGUUCAACCGCUGCCCGAGCAGGCAGGCACCAGAAGAGCUAGCAGCCAAUCCGGCCAUGCUCGAAGCCAGCUCUGCAGCUCAGCCAAUCAGUGACAUCAUUGCUUUCUUUAGCUUGCCCAUGGUGAUGUGAAGAUGAGAAGAAAUAGCAAGGCCCAACCAGUUCUUCAUCUGGAGACAGUUCAACGUUCUGCAAACCAGAUCUUCAGGAAUUUUACUGGGAUAAUUAUCCAAAUAAAUUGCAAGCAUUCUAUCCAAAUGGAGCUCUUUCUGAGAUGAAGAGAAUUCUCAAUGUCAAGAUUUGAACAAGAAGAGAAUGGAAUACACAAUAUGGACAUCCAUAAAAAUUCAUCAGAGAGCAUUUUACUACUGAGCUGCAAAGGUAGGAAAAAUAAAUUUUUUUUGGUUAGAAAAUAUACUUCUUUCAUCUGCGUUUCAAUAAUUUAUUCCCCUUGUUAGAUAUACAUGGAAUUGAUAUUGCUUAUUCUGACUAAGUGAAAAGUGUUAUUUCUACUUACUGCUCAAUUAGAAACAUGUAGUGUUUAAUUGUCAGUUUGAAUUUUUCUUUCAUACUAUUACAGUUUAUAUUUUACUAUAGGCAGAAUUUCCUCUUUAUCCUAAAUUUUGAUAUUCUCCAUAAUUUCAUCGUGCCUUGACAUUGCUGUAUAUAAUUUCUAUACAUCAGGAAGGCAAUUCUGUGUGCAUGUGUGUGUGUAUAUAUAUAGUUAGAAGUUAGAAACUGAAACUCUUUUUUGUCUACCAUCAUUUCAUAUUUUUCUUGCUAUUUCAAACCUAUAAUUUUUAAAGAAACGACUAACGUAAUCAUUCAUAGAAUAUGCUGUCAGUAACUUAACAAUAUAAAUGUUAACAUGGAGGCAUUUAGUUCAGCAUUUGCUUUACUUAAUAGAGUGCAGAAAAUGUGGCCCUUUUCUCAGUUAGGGUGUAUGUGAAGAUAAAUUUAGAAUUUCUAGACUAGUAAAUACUUCUCUGAUAAUAACUUAAUUAUAGCUAUUUCAAACCAAAUUGUUUAAUUGUGGUGAAUCAUAUGUAAAUUGUUCAGAUGUAGGUCAACACCCACGCCCACAUUCUAGCACCUCUUUCCUAAUUCAAGACAACUUUGCAGUGCCUAAAAGAGCUGAACAGUGCAGAUUAGAGACAUAAGACAAAAAAAAAAAAAAAACACAAAACAAUGGUA